UGGCUCAGGACGAACGCUGGCGGCGUGCCUAAUACAUGCAAGUCGAACGGUCUUUUCUAUGGAAGCUUGCUUCCACUGAGAAGAUAGUGGCGAACGGGUGAGUAACACGUGGGUAACCUGCCCAUAAGAGGGGGAUAACAUCCGGAAACGGGUGCUAAUACCGCAUAGUUUUCUUGAUCGCAUGAUUGAGAAAGGAAAGACGGCCUUUGUGCUGUCGCUUAUGGAUGGACCCGCGGCGUAUUAGUUAGUUGGUGAGGUAACGGCUCACCAAGACGAUGAUACGUAGCCGACCUGAGAGGGUGAUCGGCCACAUUGGGACUGAGACACGGCCCAAACUCCUACGGGAGGCAGCAGUAGGGAAUCUUCCGCAAUGGACGAAAGUCUGACGGAGCAACGCCGCGUGAGUGAAGAAAAGGUUUUCGGAUCGUAAAACUCUGUUGUCAGAGAAGAACAAGUUGGAGAGUAACUGCUCCAGCCUUGACGGUAUCUGACCAGAAAGCCACGGCUAACUACGUGCCAGCAGCCGC
rnacentral:rRNA from 1 species